rnacentral:lncRNA from 1 species
CCUGCCUGUGUCCUUCCUUGUCCCCCCAACCAGGGAGCUCCUGGAAGACUGGCCCCCCAACAUGGCCCCAGAUCCAGUGGCUGGAGGGCCUUCCCAGUCUUGCCCUCACUUCCCAGCUGAGGAAGCUGUUCACACACCCCAGGCUGUCCCCAACAUCAGCACUGGAACAUGGGACCUGGGUGGGCUGAAGGGCCCUCUUCAGUGUUUCUUUUUUUGCUGUGAGUGGGAAGGGCUGGGGAAACUGAGGCACAGGUGUCUUCAUUUGCCCAGGUCACCCUAGAAACCUACUCUCCUUGCUGCUCUCUGGACUCUGGGGCCACAUAGGGAGGCGGCCUGC